AAAUUACUAAUAUUUUUUUAUGAAAAGAAAAUUAUUCAAUCAUUUUCUUAAUUACCGUGAAAACUUCAAAUAUGAUUAUUAUUUGUGGACGAAGUAAGUAAUAGAUUGAAAUAUAUAGUUCAAGGAAAAAAAAUUUGUUCAAUUUGCAUAUAGGUAUGAUAUAGAAAAUAAAAUUGAAAAAGAAAAGAAAUUUUGAAAAAAAUAUAUGAAGUUAAAAUAAAUUAAACAUAAUCUUAAAAUUUCAUCCAAAUACACGCGUUAAAUUCAUUGUCAAUACAACUUCGAUUUGAUAUUUUAGACUUAGAAUUUGAAUAAGCUAAAACGAAUUGGUUUAGUUUAAAAGCACAGUGUUAUAACUUUUUUUUUAUUGCUCAUUCAAUAUUGUUUUACAAGUUGCAGCACAUAAUUUUUAAUAAUUUUAUAUUAUAAAUUUAUUUUUCAAAAUUAUUGACUUUUUAAAGAAAAAUUUAUCAAUACAUAACACAGUCAUGUUGAAACUUUAUUUUUCAAGAUAAAUUGUGAAUGAAAAAAA
rnacentral:misc_RNA from 1 species